rnacentral:rRNA from 1 species
CCUACGGGUGGCAGCAGUGAGGAAUAUUUGUCAAUGGGCGCGAGCCUGAACCAGCCAAGUCGCGUGAGGGAAGACGGUCCUAUGGAUUGUAAACCUCUUUUGUCGGGGAGCAAAAGACGCCACGCGUGGCGUUCCGAGAGUACCCGAAGAAAAAUCAUCGGCUAGCUCCGUUCCAGCAGCCGCGUUAAUACGGAGGAGGAGAGCGUUGGCCGGAUUUAUGGGGUUUAAAGGGUGCGCAGGCGGUAGAGAAAGUCUGCGGUAAAAUGGCGGGGCGCAACCUCUUCGAGCCGUUGAAACUGGUGUUCUUGAGGCAGUGAGAAGUAGGCGGAAUGCGUGGUGUAGCGGUGAAAUGCAUAGAUAUCAGGAAGAACACCGAUGGCGAAGGCAGCAUACCGGCGCUAAACUGACGCUCAUGCACGAAAGUGUGGGUAUCGAACAGGAUUAGAUACCCUAGUAGUC